rnacentral:misc_RNA from 1 species
GAUGAAGAACGUAGCGAAAUGCGAUACGUAAUGUGAAUUGCAGAUUUCAGUGAAUCAUCGAAUCUUUGAACGCACAUUGCGCCCGCCAGUAUUCUGGCGGGCAUGCCUGUUCGAGAGUCAUUUCAACCAUCAAGCGCCUCGCUUGUGUUGGGGCCCUGCGGCUGCCGCAGGCCCCUAAAUCCAGUGGCGGGCUCGUCGUCGUACCGAGUGCAGUAAACAUCCUCGCUCAGGGAACCCGACGGGUGCCGGCCGUGAAACCCCCCCUCCUCAAGGUUGACCUCGGAUCAGGUAGGAAUACCCGCUGAACUUAAGCAUAUCAAUAAGCGGGGA